UUCUCAUCUUACAGAUAAAAAAUACUUGGGGGAUUUUUCUGUAGAGAGGGGCGUUUCACUGAUUUGUAAGAAACUAUAGGUAAUAGAGGUCACUAGGACCCAGAUCUCCCUUAUAAAAUAGCUAAGGCAAAAAAAGAUUUGAGAAUCCAAAAGGUUAGAGAACAACUAAUGCAAAGCCAAGCAAGAACCCAAACAAGAGGAACUGUUUUGAUGACAAAGCUCAUCUUCUUAAGACACAAGAAAACAGACCCUGAUGACACUCCAGUGGAGGAGAAGGUAGCUAGACUGGACUGGACCCAUCAGAGCUCCAAGACUGGAAAGACAGAUGCCAAUUUUGUGGGGAGCCUCAGAGGAGUUGGGAUGUUGGACACAUGAGCCAACCUGAUCUUUGGCUGGAGAAGAAACUGGGAGCUAAAGGAUCUCUUCCUGAUUACGUGGUGCUGUGGAGGAAGUAGUGAUUCUGAAACACUGGAAGCCAGAAGACAGUGGAGGAAAAUCUUCAACCUACUGAAAGAAGACAGCUCUCAACCUAGAGCUCUAUUCCUAGCAAAAACAUUGUUUGAGGAAAAAG
rnacentral:lncRNA from 10 species